rnacentral:rRNA from 1 species
GACGAACGCUGGCGGCGUGCUUAACACAUGCAAGUCGAACGGGCCUUGUCCCCUUUUUUUUUGGGGGUGGGGUUAGUGGCGAACGGGUGAGUAACACGUGAGUAACCUGCCCCUCACUUCUGGAUAACCGCUUGAAAGGGUGGCUAAUACGGGGUGUUCUGGCCUGCUCGCAUGGGUGGGUUUGAAAAGAUUCGACCGGUUUUGGUUGUUUUGGUGGGGGAUGGGCUCGCGGCCUAUCAGCUUGUUGGUGGGGUGAUGGCCUGCCAAGGCUUUGACGGGUAGCCGGCCUGAGAGGGUGGGCGGUCACACUGGGACUGAGACACGGCCCAGACUCCUACGGGAGGCAGCAGUGGGGAAUAUUGCACAAUGGGCGCAAGCCUGAUGCAGCGACGCCGCGUGAGGGAUGGAGGCCUUCGGGUUGUGAACCUCUUUCGCCAGUGAAGAAGGUCCUGCUCUUUGUGGUGGGGUUGACGGUAGCUGGGUUAAUGAAGCGCCGGCUAACUACGUG